rnacentral:rRNA from 1 species
UCCUGAUGGCUCACAUGAAGUUUCGUGCCGUUCCGACCUCGUUUGAUACGGUUAUGGUUAACCACACGGCCCCUCGGGCCCGACCCGAGCCCAGUCAACGUUUUGACCCGAUCAAAUCGGCCCGUGACCCGAAACGACCCUACUUGGGCCCUACAACAGCCACGUAAAGUUUCGGGAUGAUCCGACGUUCUUUCAUGGGGUUACGGACAAUCCACGCCAAACAAGCGUCACGGGCCGACCGAGCCGGGCCAACGGGCCCUCGGGACCCGAAAACUGAAUUUUUUUUCAUCCAAACCCAUUAAAACACGUUACCGAGGUCUCACGCAAAAUUUCAUGCCAAUCCGACGUCGUUUGAUGGGGUUUUGAGAUAUUAUGAUUCCUCAAAAAUUUAAUGUCUGUUCCUGUCACUUAGCUUUUUGUGCAAAAUGUAUAUAUAGGGGAGGGGUGGGUGUUGAGCAGCCCAUGCCCGGGCAAGGCAUGCCAGCGCCCAAGCCAAAGGAGGCUGGUGGCGUGCGUAUAACAGCUCAAAUGCCCCAACGAUGACCGAGAACAAGCGCCCAUCUCCCCUCCUUCCCCCCCACCAAGCGCCCCUCCCCCCCCAUGUUGCCUGCCCACUCGCACAGCUACUCGUGAUUUCAUGCCCAGCGACUAGUGAAUGUGCCUCGACGACCAGCAAACCUCGAAAAUUAUGAUUCCUCGUAAAAUUAAUGUCUGUUCCUGUCACUUUACUUUUUGUGCAAAAUGUAUAUAUAGGGGAGACCAGGGGCUUGAGCAACCCCUGUGCCCAAGCAAGGGUCAGAUGGAAGCAUACGAGACGCGAGGUUUAAAGCCUAUACAAGCAAGGCGUCUGUCUCCCCAAGCCCCAUUGCCUAUAAAACAAGCCCGAUGCCUUGUAAAUGCCCCACACGAUGCCUAUAAACGACAACGAUGUUUGCUAGUUAAUCGAUCGACGCCCCACACCUUGCAGCAUGUUGCCUAGUAAACAAGCCAUGCUGCCUUGGAAGCGCCCCACAUCAUGGCAUGUUGCCUAGCACGCUGCCCUUGUUUCCAGCACGGCGACCUGAAAGCGUGGCCUGACGACGUGCUUGCCUUCGAAAAUUAUGAUUCCUCAAAAAAUUAAUGUCUGUUCCUGUCACUUUACUUUUUGU